rnacentral:rRNA from 1 species
GAUGAACGCUGGCGGCGUGCCUAAUACAUGCAAGUCGAGCGAACAGACGAGGAGCUUGCUCCUCUGACGUUAGCGGCGGACGGGUGAGUAACACGUGGAUAACCUACCUAUAAGACUGGGAUAACUUCGGGAAACCGGAGCUAAUACCGGAUAAUAUAUUGAACCGCAUGGUUCAAUAGUGAAAGACGGUUUUGCUGUCACUUAUAGAUGGAUCCGCGCCGCAUUAGCUAGUUGGUAAGGUAACGGCUUACCAAGGCAACGAUGCGUAGCUGACCUGAGAGGGUGAUCGGCCACACUGGAACUGAGACACGGUCCAGACUCCUACGGGAGGCAGCAGUAGGGAAUCUUCCGCAAUGGGCGAAAGCCUGACGGAGCAACGCCGCGUGAGUGAUGAAGGUCUUCGGAUCGUAAAACUCUGUUAUUAGGGAAGAACAAAUGUGUAAGUAACUACGCACGUCUUGACGGUACCUAAUCAGAAAGCCACGGCUAACUACGUG